CCACGCCACAUGAUACUCGCUACAGAGGCAAUGGCUACCACUGGGACUAUAGCAACACCAUGGUUUCUUAGAAGAUCAUUUCAAACCUUAUCACUCUCUCACUCUCUUCCCAAUAAAACACGCAUCUCCUUUUAUGGAACCCAAUUCUCUUUUCCCCUCUCCAGUCCCAUUACCAGACACUCAGCUUUAGGGAUGUGUCAUGUGGCUCAAGCUACGAAGGGUGAAGUUGUUGUUGCACUUAAGGGUGUAGAAGACAAAAGUGUCAUUGAAGAAGUGAAGCGUAUUCUAGACAUGGCAAGAAGGGCAUCAUUACGAAGAGAAGUUCUCCAUACAGAUUUUCUCACCCCACCAACAUUGAAGGAAUCAUUGCAUGUGCUAGAAAAAUUAGCUGACGUUAAGGCUAUUGCUCAGGGAGGAUACCCACAGGCUGAGCGUUGCCGGCUUUCUGUUGGACAUCCAGAAACUCUGACAAGUGAUCCAGAUAUAGUUGCAGCAUUGAGUAUAACAGGAAACUUUGGAUUUCAACUGUGUUCUCACGGUGACUUCCUUGGUGCAAUUCUUGGUACAGGGAUUGCCAGGAACAAGCUUGGGGAUAUAAUCUUGCUGGGGGGGAAAAGGGCUCAAGUCCUACUUGUUCCAGAUCUUGUAGACUAUAUUGUGUCAUCACUGGACAAGGUUGGUGAUGUUUCAGUUUCGUGUGCACUGAUCCCAUUGCAUGCUAUUGAAUAUGAGCCUCCAAGGACUAAGUCAUUUAAAACAGUGGAAGCAUCAUUAAGGGUUGAUGCCCUGGCAAGUGCAGGAUUCAAGAUUUCAAGGUCAAAACUAGUUGAUUUGAUUAGUAACAAGGAUGUGCGUGUGAAUUGGACCACAAUCACAAAAAACAACACCACACUAAAAACUGGAGAUGUUGUCUCAGUAAGUGGGAAAGGAAGGCUAAAGUCCAGAUAGGAGAAAUAAAUACUACAAGGAAAGGAAAGUUUGCAGUUGAGCUCAUUCACUAUCUGUAAGCCUUAGCACAAGGAAGAUCAGGAAUUGGAGGCUUGUUAAGAAAUGGUAGUGGGAACUGGAUCAUUGGCUUCUCCGGGUUUAUUGGCUUGUCUUCUAAAGUGAUUGUUGAAUUAAAUACUAUUAGAUUUGGAUCAUUGCUUGCUUGGAGUAAGGGGUAUUGAAGAGUGAUUUUUUAAGCUGAUUCGCUAGAGGCAUUGGAGUUAAUUAAUGGAUGUCUUUCAUCUGCUCAUCCUUCUUUCAUUUUUAUUGAGGAUAUUAGACUGUCGAUGAAGUGGGAUUGGUGUUGUUGUGUUCAACAUGUGUUGCAGGAAGUAAACAGCUCUGCUGAUUAUCUAGCUAAGUUAGGAUCUUCUAGUGCUGAUAAGGAGACUAGGUGGUUCUUUCCUCUAGGCCUCUCGUCUUUACUGUCUGCAGAUUCUGCUGGCGCUACUUUUUGGCUUGUUUCAUUAUUUCUUUUACACAAAAAGAAAAAAUAGAUUCGUUGGAAAAGACCAAACCACUAAAAUCUUUUAAUAUAUGAAGCCAAAAAUUAUUAACAGCCACGUAGAAGUAACAGUAAACCUACUCAAAUUCUUCUUCUGUUUUUUUCGCUAAAAUGCCUUCUUUCAUAGAUAUGCACUAGUUUUUUCAUUUUCUUAUUUACAUGAACAUAUCUUUUUUAUUAGCCUAUUGCUUUUUGAAUAAAAAAAUAAAGUCUAUUAAAAUAAAUUUUCAUAAAAAUCACAAUCAUUUAAAUCAAGGUGGAAAAAAAAAUAUCUCUUUAAUCAAAACUCUUUUUUUAUAAAUUUUACAUAUUAGAUUUUUAUAUAAUAAUUCAAAAGGUAAUCAAUGCUAGACCGGCCUGCUUGGUUUUUUUUUAAAAAAAAAACAUUGUCCUUUUAAUUUCUUUAAUUAAACAAAUGAUGUAUCAUUUGCUUGGAUUGUUUUGAAAUUUUCUUCUUACCGGAAAAAGUAGAUCCAAGCUUAAAAAGUUUUUUGAAUUGGUGUUUUUUUUUCCUGACCAAUUCUAUCAAAUUAAGGGGUUAAAAAUAAGUGAAAUUCAAAAUAGAUUUUUUUAUUCAAAAACCUAACUUUCCAACUCAACCCAGGCAAAUGACAUGUCAUCUAUUUAAUUAAAGAAAUUAGAAGGAUAGUGUUUUUUUUUUAAUUUUUAUAAAUUUUACACAUUAGGUUUUUAUAUAAUAAUUUGAAAAGUAAUCAAUGCUAUACAGGCGUGCUUGGCCUUUUUUUUUUUUUUUAAGAAAAUAGAUUCCCACAAAGUCUUGCAACAAAUGUGAAAACUGUGCCCUGAAACCUAAAUAUAAUUAAGACAAUGUGCAAAAACCUUCCAUUAGAUCCAAUACUUUCUAACCAUUUAAUUGCGUGAAGCUGUAUGGAUCCUUGAAACCAAGUUCCAGGAAAUGGACUACCAAACUGAAGUUGACAGAUAACAAAACUGCAUCGAACUUUGAUACAGGGAGCUACUGCAUCCUUUUUUUCGAUCCCCAAGUCUUUUUCCUGUGUAGAGCAGAAUUUUCAAAGAGACAAAAACAAAGUUCUGACUGGGAUGCACCCCAUCGCCUGCAAAGAUUCAAGCCAAAAAUGAGGUUCUAUCUGACAAGUCAAACAAGAGAGGGAGGAGUUCACAAUCAUAUUUGAGUAGAAGCUAGCGCACCUGUGACUAAAGUUGACUGAGGGAGGCAAAUCUUAUGCGCCGGUAACACGACAGACACAGGUUUUCAACAUUGAGUUCCACAAAUGUCUAAACCACGGAAGACUUGUCUUUCACUUGCAGUGCAUAUAAAAUCUCUCCCCACCAUUGAAUGUAAGUGUCACCUUGCCAAAGCCUUGCGCCUCACAAUCCCUUGGUCGGUUAAACUCUGCGAUCGGCAUUCAACGUUUCCACACAAGAAAAAGAGGGAGUAGUUAACCAGCUCUAUAUUCAAACAAAAAGUUGCCAGUAUAAGAUUUUUAAAUUUUUUUUUAGUUCAAGACAGACCUAAUAAACGGAUUACUGUACAACAUAUUUUGUUUGUUUCAUUGGGAGGCCCAUGAGCUUCGGGCAGGGGUUCCUUCCAUCCUUGAUUCAAACCAGGGUCUUUUUUUUAUUCUUCAUUCGGGAUGCCCAAGUAUAAAUUUGUAGAGAAAAAUCAGAGCUUUAUAAUUAGAAUUCUAGUUUAUACUGGCUUAUGUAGUUUCCGACCUCAGAAAGAAUUCUAGUUGUACCGAGGCAUGAUUUUGAAUAAUAUGGUUCAGAAAUCCAA